UCCUCAAAAUCGUCCCCCAUCUCUCUCUCUCUCUCUCUACCUUCAAAUCUUCAAGACUUGUUCUUCAUUCAAAGCUUUGAAGGUGAUCCAUGGAGGUUGCAAGUUGAAGGGCAUUCAAAGGAGCUUUGUUCUAGUCUUGUUCAUCAUCUUUCUCACCAUCAUCUUCACUAGAAUUUCUACCCUAGCUUUGUGCUAGUAUCCGGUUUCGAGUUAUAAAGCUGAAAUGAAGUUGUCGUGUAGCGGACAGGGUUUGAGAUUCGAUUCAAGACGCACUACUGAGCUGUUGCUUAGGAUGUUCGUGACACACUAGGGCGGACCUAUGCCUUAGAGACUAAAAUAAAGAUGGAACCAGUUUAAUUAUGUGAUGAACACUUUGUUUCAGUUAAUUUAAGACUAUGUAACCUUUGCUUGAUGAAUAAAACAUAACUUUUAAUUACCAUGGUUGUGAAACAAUAAUUCUGUUACAACACUCCCCGACGUUUCCGCCACGAUUUGUUGUUUUACGUGGUCGGGGUGU
rnacentral:lncRNA from 1 species